GCUUAUAGGAAUUAAAAGGGAAACAGGUGAGAAUCCUGUACAGUUCCCGCUGCUGUAAGUCCGGAGGUUAUAUACCUUUUAUAUUGCAUUCUUUUAGUCACUGAUAUUUUAUCGGGAAGGCGCAAUUUCAGACAAGUCAGAAGACCUGCUCUCGUACUU
rnacentral:ncRNA from 1 species